UGUGUUCAAUCAGAAAACUCAAACCUUAGUAGAGGCUGUGAGUAAUACCAACAACAGCUUCAAUGUGACCAUAAAUCCCAACAGAGUCAAAAUAAUAGCAGGUCCAGUUCCAUCUACAACUACCACAUCUACAAAUGCUGCACCAAUCAACGUGAAUGGCACCCAAUCAAGUGGAGUGAGCCACAAGAUCAGUCUCGUUACUGCAUCCUGCCUGGUAUUGUUGUCAUGGAUACUAUCAAGCCAGCAAUAGAAUCAGUGCUGAUUACCAUUUGAAUUGCUAGCAGACUAUGACUGCCAUUACUGGUAUGAACAAGCACUUUGUUGUCGGUAAAAAUCCAAG